ACCCCAGUUGGACUUUUGUUCAAAGUGAACAGCGAGGGUUUGUUCACCUGCCCUGUGAAUGCUUCGCCCGUUGACUACGCCAAGGUAAGGCAGUACAAUAAAUCGCUAUGGUCUCUCUGAAAGGUGCGGGCGAGAUUGCCGACAGCUGCGCGCGCAGCUGCCCAAGGUGCGCGAGCACGUGCUUCUCCUAAUGCGCGCCAUUUCGCCCGGUCCUCAGCUCGUCGCAUUCGUUUACUGCCAUCAGCCAGCCAUCCACACGGGGACAGCGGACAGAGAAUACACAAAGAAGGUCACUAGUACUUUUAGAUUUCUGUUUUUGGAUCGAACUACUUUC